GUGUUGUAUGAAAGGAGAGAAGGUUAGCACUCCCCUUGACAAGGAUGGAAAUGGUCCCUGUGACCUGCAACACACAUAUGGUUAAGGCAUUGCCACUUACUUUGUGGUAUCUCUAACCAAGUUUUUUC